rnacentral:rRNA from 1 species
CGAACGGAUGAGUAAUACAUAGGUAACCUACCCUUAAGACGAGGAUAGCCAUUGGAAACGAUGGAUAAAACUGGAUAGGAUAUAGAGGAAGAAUCUUUUAUAUUUAAAAGAGAGAUCUGCUUAAGGAGGGGCCUGUGGCGCAUUAGCUAGUUGGUGGGGUAAGGGCCUACCAAGGCGAUGAUGCGUAGCCGGACUGAGAGGUUGAACGGCCACAAUGGAACUGAGAACGGUCCAUACUCCUACGGGAGGCAGCAG